rnacentral:rRNA from 1 species
UACGUAGGGUGCGAGCGUUAAUCGGAAUUACUGGGCGUAAAGCGCGUGUAGGCGGCCAGGUAAGUCCGUUCUGAAAGCCCGGGGCUCAACCCCGGGAGGCGGAUAGAUACUGCUUGGCUCGAGUCCGGAAGAGGCGAGUGGAAUUCCCGGUGUAGCGGUGAAAUGCGCAGAUAUCGGGAGGAACGCCAAGGGGGGAGGCAGCGCGCUGGGACGGUACUGACGCUGAGACGCGAAAGCGUGGGGAGCAAACAGG